rnacentral:tRNA from 1 species
UGGGAACAAGCUGUUUAAGCGUUUCAUUUACACUGAAAAGGUUCUUGUGGUAACAAGGUUCUCAA